CUGGACAUCACAGAUGUCUCCCUGCGGCUCAUUAUUCGCCAUAUGCCCCUGCUCUCGAAGCUCCAACUCAGUUACUGUAACCACAUCAAUGACCAGUCCAUCAACCUGCUCACUGCCGUCGGCACCACCACCCGAGACUCGCUGACAGAGGUCAACCUAUCAGACUGUAAUAAGGUAACUGACCUGUGCCUGUCCUUCUUCAAACGCUGUGGAAAUAUCUGUCAUAUUGACCUGAGGUACUGCAAGCAAGUCACCAAGGAAGGCUGUGAGCAAUUCAUAGCUGAAAUGUCUGUGAGUGUCCAAUUUGGGCAAGUGGAAGAGAAACUCCUGCAAAAACUAAGUUAG
rnacentral:lncRNA from 1 species